CACCAGCGCCACGAGUGGGAAUCACAUUUAUUGGGUCUAAAGCGCUCGUAGCCGGUUCUGCAAAUCGUCUGUAAAAUCGUUGCGCUAAACGUAACGGCGUGCAGAUGAGACUACAGAACUUGGGACUGGGAGGAGUUAGGGGUAUGCAUGGGGGAGCAGUAAAAUGCAAUAAUCCCUUGUAGACCACCUGUGGCGAAGGCGCCUAACUAGAACAGAUCCGACGGUGAGGGGCGAAAGCUAGGGGA
rnacentral:rRNA from 1 species